rnacentral:rRNA from 1 species
GUGGGGAAUAUUGGACAAUGGGCGAAAGCCUGAUCCAGCCAUGCCGCGUGAGUGAUGAAGGCCUUAGGGUUGUAAAGCUCUUUCAGUAGGGAAGAUAAUGACGGUACCUACAGAAGAAGCCCCGGCUAACUUCGUGCCAGCAGCCGCGGUAAUACGAAGGGGGCUAGCGUUGUUCGGAUUUACUGGACGUAAAGCGCACGUAGGCGGAUCGUUAAGUCGGGGGUGAAAUCCUGGAGCUCAACUCCAGAACUGCCUUCGAUACUGGCGAUCUUGAGUCCGGAAGAGGUGAGUGGAACUCCUAGUGUAGAGGUGGAAUUCGUAGAUAUUAGGAAGAACACCAGUGGCGAAGGCGGCUCACUGGUCCGGUACUGACGCUGAGGUGCGAAAGCGUGGGGAGCAAACAGGAUUAGAAACCCCAGUAGUCC